GACGAACGCUGGCGGCGCGCCUAACACAUGCAAGUCGAGCGAAGCGGCGAACGGGUGAGUAACGCGUGAGGAACCUGCCUCUCACAACGGGAUAGCCUCGGGAAACCGGGAUUAAUACCGUAUGGUGAGAGUUGGCCUCGCGUCUGAUUAUUUAGUUGGUGGGGUAACGGCCGACCAAGACGACGAUCAGGAACCGGACUGAGAUGGUGAACGGUAACAUUGUCACUGAGACACGGUCCAAACUCCGACGGGAGGCAGCAGUGUGGAAUCUUGCACAAUGGGGGGAACCCUGAUGCAGCGACGCCGCGUGAGCGAUGAAGGUUUUCGAAUCGUAAAGCUCUGUCCUAUGGGAAGCGGGACCAGAGGAGGAAGCCCCUGCUAACUACGUGCCAGCAGCCGCGGUAAUAC
rnacentral:rRNA from 1 species